rnacentral:rRNA from 1 species
UACGGAGGGGGCUGGCGUUGUUCGGAAUUACUGGGCGUAAAGCGCACGUAGGCGGACUUUUAAGUCGGGGGUGAAAUCCUGGAGCUCAACUCCAGAACUGCCUUCGAAACUGAAAGUCUUGAGUUCGGGAGAGGUGAGUGGAACUGCGAGUGUAGAGGUGAAAUUCGUAGAUAUUCGCAAGAACACCAGUGGCGAAGGCGGCUCACUGGCCCGAUACUGACGCUGAGGUGCGAAAGCGUGGGGAGCAAACAGG